UUCCACUUUCUUCUACUAAAUUUAUUAGCUCACAAUCGCUCAAAACGCAUAUCAGCAAACAUUGGUCUCACUGCUUCGAAUCUUCGGAUUAGGGUUUCUGAAGUUCUCUUUGUUCUUCACUCUUCCAAUUUCAGGAGCAACAAAUUAGGGCCGUUGUGUAUGAUGAUGAUAUUAGGCAUUAUGCAAAGAAGCUUCAAACCUCGGAGACAUAUUUAAUUUCCACAGCAAGAGUUCGAGUUUCACCCACUUUAUACGUCAAACCAAUACACAUGUUUUAUUGGGUACUCGACAAAGAAACUAUAGUUGAACAUGUCAAGCCAACUGUCUAGUAUGAGAAACCACUCCCACCAUCAACUAAGCUGAAAAUCACAACUUUUGGCGACAUCGCUAAUAUGACUCCUCAUUCUUCUGUAGAAAUUGGUAUACCACUCUUAUCAAUUACUAGCAUGCUCAAUUAUAUAUGCUUAUACAUGUAUGCACUCAUUAUAUUCCAUAUAUAUAUAUAUAUUACUAGUAGACAUACUAGAAGUUGUUCUACGUUGUGGCCCUCCAAAAUACGCAGGUCGCAAUGGAUUAUUGUUGUUGACAAUCAGUAAGUACAACAUUCAUUUCAGUUUUCCUUUGGAAGCAUAUGCAUAUCCUUACGAUAGAUGCUCAAAAAAUUAGUAUUAUAUUCUCGGCACUCUCAGGAAAAAAAAUUCUACUCACUUUAUGGGAGGACUUCGGAGAAACUAAAGGAACUCUGCUCCAAGCUAAAAUGGGAACUCCAAGCUAAACUAGGAAAGGAUAAAGAGUUCCGUAUAAUUCUUGGAAGGAAUAUAGGAAUAUCUUCUUAUCAGGGUUUAUCUCUGCAAACGAGAUUCAACUCAAAUACACAUAAAUCCUGCUUACCCACAGGAAUUGGAGCUCAUAAAUGGGUACCAACUUUUCAGCCUUGCUUUUUAACUUGCCCUUCAAUAAGGCAAAAACAAACAAACACAUGCUUUCAAGUUAUGCAUGAGCCAGCUUCUCCGUGUCAUCAACGUCUCUCACAGUAACUCCUGCUCAACAACAAGUUAUCUUCAUUGUAGAAAUUUCAUUACAAACUUCGGUAAUGUUUCACUUAUCUAGAUGUGAAUACGUUUAUUCAUGAAACAGAAUAAUAUACAUGUGCAUUUCCUCUUCCUUGACAGAUUGGAGUUUUCUAUGUUGAGGCAGAAAUGUUUAUUUCAAAUAAGCUGCAGAAAUUUUGUGUGCUUGAAUGUUUAGGAUGCAAACAGAAUAAGAACACGAAAGAAAGAAGAGAAUUUGAAUGCACAAAGUGUAAUCGACAGACAACAUUAGUGCCUAGGUACUACGUUUUCACCAUACAUAUAAAUUUCAUCCCCACAAAAUAUAGCAUAUAUGUACAAAUAUUAAACUCAAUAUGGUUCCCGGUGUACCUUCCAAAUUGAUCUUAUUGAUGGCAGUGGGUCGACUACGGCAUCAAUUUCUGGAGAUAUAGUUGAGAAGAUGCUCCCUAUGACAGCAGAACAUAUAUUUGAAACUGUCACGACCCAACCCCGUAGGCCGUGACUGGUGCCCGAACUGGACACCCGUAUACAUGUUCUUUAGUUAUAUGUUCUUUUCACAACAAACUCAAUAUGGAUUCUUAUAACGACCAACCAUGGUCUCAGAUUUGUCACAUAAUUAUACAUAUAAAAGCAAACCGACAAGGCUACCAUCACAUAUCAUUAUCAUAUGCAAGCCAACAAGGCUUCCAUUAUAGACGAACAUCGUACCACGGUACAUCAUAUAGACACAGCUGAACAGAACCCAUACACAACCCACACAUAUGUCCACAGACUUCUAAGAGUUUCAACAGUGAAAUAUGACGGGACAGGGCCCUGUCGUACCCGUAGUCAACAUAUGCAUAUAUUUAGAUCAAAAGGGUCUAUACCAAAGUCUGGGCUCCGGAACAACGAAACUCUCCAAAAUAGCAGAAGGGAAAUCUUAAGUUGUCGGAUCACCAAAGCGAGUAUCUGCACCUGCGAGCAUGAAACGCAGCCCCUCGAAGAAAGGGGGUCAGUACAAAAUAUGUACCGAGCAUGUAAAGCAUGAAAUACAGUAAACAGGAUCAUAACUGAAAUAAGAGGUACAGAAAAUGAGUACAAUAACCAAAAUACCAAGUACUUGCUUUUGAAACAUAACUCAUGCACAUCAAUAUCAUAUGUCAGAUCUGGCCCCAUUAUGGGACUCGGUGAACAUGGUCGCCACCCCGUCUAUGGCGCCAUAACACAGCA